rnacentral:rRNA from 1 species
UACGGAGGGGGCUAGCGUUGUUCGGAAUUACUGGGCGUAAAGGGCGCGCAGGCGGCUGCUCAAGUCAGGCGUGAAAGGCCUGGGCUCAACCCGGGAAUUGCGCUUGAGACUGGGCUGGCUUGAGUGCGGGAGAGGAUGGUGGAAUGCUUGGUGUAGAGGUGAAAUUCGUAGAUAUCAAGCGGAACACCGGUGGCGAAGGCGGCCUUCUGGACAGUGACUGACGCUGAGACGCGAAAGCGUGGGGAGCAAACAGG